rnacentral:rRNA from 1 species
UUGAAAAAGCUCGUAGUUGGAUCUCGGCGGACUGAGGCCGGUUUGCUUGCUAGUAUUACUGCCCUAUGAGUCCGUAGUUUUGCCAGAGGUUUCGGGGUGCCCUUAAUCGAGUGUCCCGGGAUGCUGGCAGGUUUACUUUGAAAAAAUUAGAGUGCUCAAAGCAGGCUAUUACGCCUGAAUAUUCGUGCAUGGAAUAAUAGAAUAGGAAGUCGUUUCUAUUUUGUUGGUUUUCGGAAAUCGACUUAAUGAUUAAUAGGGACAGUCGGGGGCAUUUGUAUUCAAACGACAGAGGUGAAAUUCUUGGACCGUUUGAAGACAAACUACUGCGAAAGCAUUUGCCAAGAAUGUUUUCAUUAAUCAAGAACGAAAGUUAAAGGUUCGAAGGCGAUUAGAUACCGCCCUAGUUUUAACCAUAAACGAUGCCAGCUAGCGAUCUGCGGACGUUUUUUUUGUAGACUCCGCAGGAAGCUUCCGGGAAACCAAAGCAUUUGGGUUCCAGGGGAAGUAUGGUUGCAAAGCUGAAACUUAAAGGAAUUGACGGAAGGGCACCACCAGGAGUGGAGCCUGUGGCUUAAUUUGACUCAACACGGGAAAUCUCACUAGGCCCGGACACUGGAAGGAUUGACAGAU